rnacentral:rRNA from 1 species
UACGAAGGGAGCUAGCGUUGUUCGGAAUCACUGGGUGUAAAGCGCACGUAGGCGGAUGUGUCAGUCAGGGGUGAAAUCCCGGAGCUCAACUUCGGAACUGCCUUUGAUACAGCACGUCUUGAGUCCGGAAGAGGUGGGUGGAAUUCCUAGUGUAGAGGUGAAAUUCGUAGAUAUUAGGAAGAACACCGGUGGCGAAGGCGGCCCACUGGUCCGGUACUGACGCUGAGGUGCGAAAGCGUGGGGAGCAAACAGG